rnacentral:rRNA from 1 species
GACGAACGCUGGCGGCGUGCUUAACACAUGCAAGUCGAACGGAAAGGCCCUGCUUUUGUGGGGUGCUCGAGUGGCGAACGGGUGAGUAACACGUGAGUAACCUGCCCUUGACUUUGGGAUAACUUCAGGAAACUGGGGCUAAUACCGGAUAGGAGCUCCUGCUGCACGGGGGGGGUUGGAAAGAUUCGGCGGUUGGGGAUGGACUAGCGGCUUAUCCGCUUGUUGGUGGGGUAGUGGCUUACCAAGGCUUUGACGGGUAGCCGGCCUGGGAGGGUGACCGGCCACAUUGGGACUGAGAUACGGCCCAGACUCCUACGGGAGGCAGCGGUGGGGAAUAUUGCACAAUGGGCGGAAGCCUGAUGCAACAACGCCGCGUGCGGAAUGACGGCCUUCGGGUUGUAAACCGCUUUCGCCUGUGACGAAGCGUGAGUGACGGUAAUGGGUAAAGAAGCACCGGCUAACUACGUG